GAGCUCAAAUUUUAAAUCUGGGGCCCCCGACCCCCGAGUUGUAAUUUGGAGAGGCAUCUUCGGGAGGAGCGCUGGCCAAUGUUCCUUGGAACAGGACGUCGCAGAGGGUGAGAAUCCCGUGCCAGGCCGGCUGCUCCCUUCCAUGUGAAGCGCCUUCGACGAGUCGAGUUGUUUGGGAAUGCAGCUCCAAGUGGGUGGUAAAUUUCAUCUAAAGCUAAAUACCGGCGAGAGACCGAUAGCGCACAAGUAGAGUGAUCGAAAGAUGAAAAGCACUUUGAAAAUAGAGUCAAAAAGUACGUGAAAUUGUUGAAAGGGAAGCGCUUGAGGCCAGACUCGGAGCGAGGCAAACAUCUGGCCCCGCGGGGCCGUGCACUUGCCUCGAGCCGGGCCAGCAUCAGUUGGCGUGGCGGGAGAAAGGCGCGGGGAAUGUGGCUCCCCUCGGGGAGUGUUAUUAGCCCCUUGCUCAAUGCCGCCCCCG
rnacentral:rRNA from 1 species